GUAACAUUCAUCCAUAACAUUAGGCUGGAACCCUUUGAUUUUGGAGAUGCACUCCGGUCAAUUUCCUAUUACUAGUAUAUUUAAUGUCCUCCAUAGCCUUUAUAUAGGUAUAUGUAACAUUCAUCCAUAAGAUUAGGCUGGGACCCUUGGAUUUUGGAGAUGUACUCCGGGCAAUUUCCUAGCUAUUAUAUUUAAUGUCCUCCAUAGCCUUUAUAUAGGUAUAUGUAACAUUCAUCCAUAACAUUAGGCUGGAACCCUUUGAUUUUGGAGAUGCACUCCGGUCAAUUUCCUAUUACUAGUAUAUUUAAUGUCCUCCAUAGCCUUUAUAUAUGUAUAUGUAACAUUCAUCCAUAAGAUUAGGCUGGGACCCUUGGAUUUUGGAGAUGUACUCCGGGCAAUUUCCUAGCUAUUAUAUUUAAUGUCCUCCAUAGCCUUUAUAUAGGUAUAUGUAACAUUCAUCUGUAAGGUUGUACAUUCAGGUUGAGACUGGAACCCUUGGAUUUUGGAGAUGCACUCCAGUCAAUUUCCUAUUAUAUUUAAUGUCCUCCAUAGCCUUUAUAUAGGUUUAUGUAACAUUCAUCUGUAAGGUUGUACAUUCAGGUUGAGACUGGAACCCUUGGAUUUUGGAGAUACACUCCGGUCAUUUUCCUAUUAUAUUUAAUGUCCUCCAUAGCCUUUAUAUAGGUAUAUGUAACAUUCAUCCAUAAGAUUAGGCUGGGACCCUUGGAUUUUGGAGAUGUACUCUGGGCAAUUUCCUAGCUAUUAUAUUUAAUGUCCUCCAUAGCAUUUAUAUAGGUAUAUGUAACAUUCAUCCAUAACAUUAGGCUGGGACCCUUGGAUUUUGGAGAUGCACUCCGGUCAAUUUCCUAUUAUAUUUAAUGUCCUCCAUAGCCUUUAUAUAGGUAUAUGUAACAUUCAUCCAUAAGAUUAGGCUGGGACCCUUGGAUUUUGGAGAUGCAUUCUGGUAGGAUCUUAUCCUUUAACUGUUACAAAUAAUGUCUUACAUAACCAUUGUAUAGGUAUAGCUAUUUACAAUUACUGUCCUCUAUAACUUUAUAUAAGUACAUAUAGUUAUCUACAAUUGUCCCCAACAGUCCUUGUAUAUCACCAUGGUAUCUUGUUUUCAGUUCAAAAAUUGUGAGAAUGUUGUCAACUUAUAUGAGUCUUAUGAAGCUUGAUAAAACUGCUGGAGAGAAGUAUUUUUGAAAAAAUGGAAAAUAAAAUAAGUAUUUACAACGGGGGAA